rnacentral:rRNA from 1 species
UCCCAGCUGUAAACGAUGCGGGCUAGGUGUCGGGGCGGCUACGAGCCGCUUCGGUGCCGCAGGGAAGCCGUUAAGCCCGCCGCUUGGGAAGUACGGCCGCAAGGCUGAAACUUAAAGGAAUUGGCGGGGGAGCACCACAAGGCGUGAAGCUUGCGGUUCAAUUGGAGUCAACACCGGAAACCUUACCGGGAGCGACAGCAGGAUGAAGGCCAGAUUGAAGGUCUUGCUAGACAAGCUGAGAGGAGGUGCAUGGCCGUCGCCAGUUCGUGCCGUGAGGUGUCCUGUUAAGUCAGGCAACGAUCGAGACCCGCGCUUCUAGUUGCUACCGAGGAAAGUUUCCAAGGAGCAAGACUAGAGGGACUGCCGCCGACGAGGUGGAGGAAGGAGCGGGCCACGGCAGGUCAGUAUGCCCCGAAUCUCCCGGGCCACACGCGAGCUGCAAUGGCAGG